rnacentral:rRNA from 1 species
GAGAACGGGGUAGCAAUAUCCCGGGAAACCGGCGCACGGGUGAGUAAUACGUAGGUAAUCUACCUUUUGGACUGGGAUAACCCCGCGAAAGCGGGACUAAUACCGGAUGAUGCAGCGGAUCCGCAUGGAUAUGUUGUUAAUCCCGCAAGGGGCCAAUAGAUGAGCCUGCGUCCCAUUAGAUAGUUGGUGAGGUAACGGCUCACCAAGUCUACGAUGGGUAGCUGAUCUGAGGGGAUGAUCAGCCACACUGGAACUGAGACACGGUCCAGACUCCUACGGGAGGCAGCAGUGAGGAAUAUUGCGCAAUGGACGAAAGUCUGACGCAGCGACGCCGCGUGAAGGAUGAAGGCCCUCUGGGUCGUAAACUUCUGUAGAGAGGGAAGAAUCUCCGCCUUGGGCGGACUGACGGUACCUCUAAAGUAAGGAUCGGCCAACUACGUGCCAGCAGCCGCGGUAAUACGUAGGAUCCGAGCGUUGUCCGGAUUUAUUGGGUGUAAAGGGAGCGCAGGCGGAUCUAUAAGUCGAGGGUGAAAUCUUACAGCUUAACUGUAAAACUGCCUUCGAUACUGUAGACCUUGAGUGUAGGAAAGGGCGAUGGAAUUCAUGGUGUAGCGGUGAAAUGCGUAGAUAUCAUGAAGAACACCAGUUGCGAAGGCGGUCGCCUAGCCUAUUACUGACGCUCAUGCUCGAAAGUGUGGGGAGCAAACAGGAUUAGAUACCCUGGUAGUCCACACCUUAAACGAUGAAUACUCGGUGUCGGGUCGUGAGACUCGGUGCCAAAGCUAACGCAUUAAGUAUUCCACCUGGGGAGUACGAUCGCAAGGUUGAAACUCAAAGGAAUUGACGGGGGCCCGCACAAGCAGUGGAGCAUGUGGUUUAAUUCGAUGCAACGCGAAGAACCUUACCUGGGUUUGAAAGGCAAGAUUCUAGACGAUGAA